CGUCACAGAAGUGACGCUGGGUCCCUCUUUCUCACUACCUGGCAGCAGGUGUGGGGGUGCUUCCAAGCCUUGCACUUUCAGUUCCAAAUGCAGGUACCUACUGACUUGCUGAAAGAGACGUGCAAGGGCAGCACAGAAUCUAUGGGCUGUACUGAUCCAUCCAUGAGCAACAUAAACACAUGAGUUUUAAAAACCAAAGGAGAGGAAAUUAUUUGCAAGAUUGAAAAAAAAACCAACCAUGAAGGACGUCAAUGAAAAGAUCAAUUCAGAUAAAAUCACAGGCUGCUUGGCAGCAUCUCACAUGCAAGUUCA